AAUCAGCCGACCUGGUGAUCAUAAACAGCAGAGAAGAACAGGAGUUUGUAGAUAGCUUGUCCAAGGGCAGUUUUGCAAGUUUUUGGAUUGGUCUGACUGACAGAGACACAGAGGGGGUGUGGAAAUGGGUGGAUGGUACAGCACUGAACACUGGGUACUGGGAUGGAGGGAGUCCCAGCAAUUUGAAUGGAAAUGAGGACUGUGUUGCUACUGAUCAUAAUUUUUAUAGUCUGAAAAGCUGGAAUGCUGUGUCAUGUUCUAAUCGUUUAAGUUUGAUCUGUGAGAAGAGACUUUUCUA